AGACGUUCUCAGGGCGAGGUGCAAUUCCUCACCGGCGGUAGGCAUCUUCGGAUGUAAGCCCGCGAGCGCCUUCGGCCAUUGCCGAAGGGUCAGCAGAUUCCGGUCAAAAUCCGGAGCCGACGGUUAAAGUCCGGAUGGAAGAGAACAUGA
rnacentral:ncRNA from 1 species